GUCCACAUCCAUACUACCCUAAAUGUGCCUGAUCUCAUCUGACCUCAGAAGCUAAGUAGGGUUUGGUUCAGUUAGUAUUUGGGACAGGAGACAACCUGGAAAACAGGGGGCUGCAGGCU
rnacentral:rRNA from 1 species